GACGAACGCUGGCGGCGUGCUUAACACAUGCAAGUCGAACGGAAAGGCCCUGCUUUUGUGGGGUGCUCGAGUGGCGAACGGGUGAGUAACACGUGAGUAACCUGCCCUUGACUUUGGGAUAACUUCAGGAAACUGGGGCUAAUACCGGAUAGGAGCUCCUGCUGCAUGGUGGGGGUUGGAAAGUUUCGGCGGUUGGGGAUGGACUCGCGGCUUAUCAGCUUGUUGGUGGGGUAGUGGCUUACCAAGGCUUUGACGGGUAGCCGGCCUGAGAGGGGGACCGGCCACAUUGGGACUGAGAUACGCCCCAGACGCCUACGGGAGGCAGCAGUGGGGAAUAUUGCGCAAUGGGCGGAAGCCUGAUGCAGCAACGCCGCGUGCGGGAUGACGGCCUUCGGGUUGUAAACCGCUUUCGCCUGUGACGAAGCGUGAGUGACGGUAAUGGGUAAAGAAGCACCGGCUAACUACGUG
rnacentral:rRNA from 1 species